GACACGCAGUGAGGUAUGUAUUUAAAGAGACAAGCAGUGAGGUAUGUGAGUAAGGGGACACGAAAUGAGGUAUGUAUUUAAAGGGACACGCAGUGAGGUAUGUAUUUAAAGAGACACAGUGAGGUAUGUAUUUAAAGGGACACGCAAUGAAGUAUGUGAGUAAGGGGACACGAAGUGAGGUAUGUAUUUAAAGAGACAAGCAGUGAGGUAUGUAUUUAAAGGGACACGCAAUGAAGUAUGUGAGUAAGGGGACACGAAGUGAGGUAUGUAUUUAAAGAGACAAGCAGUGAGGUAUGUAUUUAAAGAGACAGACACACAGUGAGGUAUGUAUUUAAAGAGACACACAGUAAGGUAUGUAUUUAAAGGGACACACAGUGAUGUAUGUAUUUAAAGAGACACACAGUGAGGUAUGUAUUUAAAGAGACACACAGUGAUGUAUGUAUUUAAAGAGACACACAGUGAGGUAUGUAUUUAAAGAGACACAGUGAGGUAUGUAUUUAAAGGGACACACAGUGAGGUAUGUAUUUAAAGAGACAAGCAGUGAGGUAUGUAUUUAAAGAGACACACAGUGAGGUAUGCAUUUAAAGGGACACGCAAUGAAGUAUGUGAGUAAGGGGACAUGAAGUGAGGUAUGUAUUUAAAGAGACACGCAGUGAGGUAUGUAUUUAAAGAGACACACAGUGAGGUAUGUAUAUAAAAGGACCACGCAGUGAGGUAUGUAUAUAAAAGGACCACGCAGUGAGGUAUGUAUAUAAAGGACCACGCAGUGAAGUAUAUGUGUACGGGGACAUAGAUGCAGUCCAGGCAGAGACACGCAGUGAGUGAGGUGUGAGUGUUCAGAGAGGGAGGGGUAACUCUGGUAUUUCUCCUCAUUUCCUGCUGAUUUUGGAGUUUGUUCCUUAUAUGGGCAAACAGAGCAUGCAGGGUGAGG